rnacentral:rRNA from 1 species
UACGUAGGUGGCAAGCGUUGUCCGGAUUUACUGGGCGUAAAGGAUGCGUAGGCGGACAUUUAAGUCAGAUGUGAAAUACCCGAGCUUAACUUGGGUGCUGCAUUUGAAACUGGGUGUCUAGAGUGCAGGAGAGGUUAGUGGAAUUCCUAGUGUAGCGGUGAAAUGCGUAGAGAUUAGGAAGAACACCAGUGGCGAAGGCGACUUACUGGACUGUAACUGACGCUGAGGCAUGAAAGCGUGGGGAGCAAACAGG